rnacentral:tRNA from 1 species
GAGGGUAUAGCUCAGAGGUAGAGUGCAUGCUGCACAAGGUCUUGGGUUCAAUUCCCAGUACCUCCA